UGGGGAAUCUUAGACAAUGGGCGCAAGCCUGAUCUAGCCAUGCCGCGUGAGUGAUGAAGGCCUUAGGGUCGUAAAGCUCUUUCGCCUGUGAUGAUAAUGACAGUASCAGGUAAAGAAACCCCGGCUAACUCCGUGCCAGCAGCCGCGGUAAUACGGAGGGGGUUAGCGUUGUUCGGAAUUACUGGGCGUAAAGCGCACGUAGGCGGAUUGGAAAGUUGGGGGUGAAAUCCCGGGGCUCAACCCUGGAACUGCCUCCAAAACUAUCAGUCUAGAGUUCGAGAGAGGUGAGUGGAAUUCCAAGUGUAGAGGUGAAAUUCGUAGAUAUUUGGAGGAACACCAGUGGCGAAGGCGGCUCACUGGCUCGAUACUGACGCUGAGGUGCGAAAGUGUGGGGAGCAAACAGGAUUAGAUACCCUGGUAGUCCACACCGUAAACGAUGAAUGCCAGUCGUCGGGCAGUAUACUGUUCGGUGACACACCUAACGGAUUAAGCAUUCCGCCUGGGGAGUACGGUCGCAAGAUUA
rnacentral:rRNA from 1 species